rnacentral:rRNA from 1 species
GAUGAACGCUGGCGGCGUGCCUAAUACAUGCAAGUCGAGCGAACGGACGAGAAGCUUGCUUCUCUGAUGUUAGCGGCGGACGGGUGAGUAACACGUGGAUAACCUACCUAUAAGACUGGGAUAACUUCGGGAAACCGUAGCUAAUACCGGAUAAUAUUUUGAACCGCAUGGUUCAAAAGUGAAAGACGGUCUUGCUGUCACUUAUAGAUGGAUCCGCGCUGCAUUAGCUAGUUGGUAAGGUAACGGCUUACCAAGGCAACGAUGCAUAGCCGACCUGAGAGGGUGAUCGGCCACACUGGAACUGAGACACGGUCCAGACUCCUACGGGAGGCAGCAGUAGGGAAUCUUCCGCAAUGGGCGAAAGCCUGACGGAGCAACGCCGCGUGAGUGAUGAAGGUCUUCGGAUCGUAAAACUCUGUUAUUAGGGAAGAACAUAUGUGUAAGUAACUGUGCACAUCUUGACGGUACCUAAUCAGAAAGCCCCGGCUAACUACGUG